UGACAGCGACGGGGCAACUGACUCCGAUGACUUGUGGGAGGAUGAGUUGGAGAGACAGGAAACCGAGAGAAAGAGAAAGGAGAUUGAGAAAGUGAGAGUUGAGACCGAGCGAAAAAGAGAACAGGAAAAAAGGAUGGAGAAGAUGGAGAUAACUAAAGCAGUGAUGGAGAGAAAGGAACAGGAGGGGAGGCUGAGAGAAAAAGAAAGGGCCAAACUAAGAGAAGAGGAGAUAAAGAAAAAAGAGAUGCAAGAGAAGACAAAGAGAGAGCUGGAGAAGGGGAAAAAAGCCAAAGUGGCCAAGAAAUUGCCCCAGGCACAUAACAGAGAGAAAAGUGAGAGAAAGAGAGGAGAUGAGAAAGAUUGCAGAGGAGAUGGAAAGAAGGUGGAAGGCUAUACCAGGAUACAGCGAUGACAGGGACGGGGAGACUGCCUCCGAUGACUUGUGGAUGGAUGAGGUGGAGAAGAGGCGGCAAGUGGAGGUCAGAAACCCCCAAGACAAACCUCAGGAAGAGGGGGAGAGAGGACACACCCAGCCUGGAAGUGCCCAAGUAAACGUAGAGCAGAAAAAGAAAGGACCAUCUGUGUUGAAGUGGGUGAAGAAGAGACUGAGUUUUGGGACCACAAAAGUGAAACAGUGAUAUGGACACACAAAGACACAUAUGGACAAUGAAUGGGAAGGAACGGAAUCAGAGUUUCCAUAAAUCUGUCACAUCCAUAUCAUCUUCCCAUCUCACAUCCUACAUAUCAUCUUCCUAUCUCAGUGGACAGGAAAAUAAAACAUUUUGGAGAAACACACACACAUGCAUGCAAUACAAUACAAAUAAAAUCUAUUUUGCAUUGAGAACUUUGUUCUUUAUUUAGACCAAGUAUUGUUUUAGGGUUUAAUUAUAAAUUCUAGGUGUUUAUGCUACCCUUUUAAAUCUAAAAAACAAAGACUAUAAAUACUGAACAUUUGUAUUCUACACUUCUACACUUACAUUAACAUAUCAUUUCAGGCAUCAUAAACUGCCAUAAUUCUUUGCAAUAAAAAUAUUUCACUUGAAC
ensembl:lncRNA